rnacentral:rRNA from 1 species
AUGACAGGUCAAGCCGAUUCGGGCACAACUGCAGAGUUGCAGCUUGAGUCACUGGAGUUGGACAUCAAGACGCUGCAGCGUGACAGAGAAGAAGAUCGCAAAGAAUUUCAGCAGUUCCAGGCGACAGUGAAUAGAACCUUUGCCACGAUGCAGAAGAAUUUUGAAAAGGUCAAAGACAAUUUCAGGCGUUUACUGUUGGACCCGGAGCCAGUUACUGCAGAGGAAAGAGAAGGUCAGGGCAGUGUCCAAGUCAAGGACAACCACAAUCAAUCUCCUCAAAUAGCUCCUAGACGACCCAAACAGCUCCAAGCUCUGACUCCUCCAUCAGUAACAAUGCCAGAGAAAGGAGCCCCUUUGCCAGUAGGAAAUGCAACUCUGCGUGAUCACACGGGAAAAGAGCUCAAUUUGGAUGGGACUCUGAAAGUACCUUACAUGCAUCCAAAUUUUGGUCAAGGUAAGGAAACAACACCAAACAUUGUGGUGCAACUAGAAGAACGGCAGGAGGAAGAGGUCAUUGAUCCACAAUACAGAAGAGGGCCCAAUUUCCCUGUUGAUGGAAGAAGAAAUGUUCUAACUAUAAAGCCAGCAAAGUUAAAUAUCUCUGAAUUUGACGGUCAAGACCCAGAGUCUUGGAUUCAGAAUUUAGAGCAGUACUUUGCUGCAGCUAGAACUCCUAUUGAGCACAGAACUGAACUGGCCAUUUCUUACCUCAAAGGGCCUGUUGUACAGUGGUGGAGAGGAACAGGAUUUGCUCCUAGCAAUGUUCCAUGGCAAAAUUUUUGCUCUUACAUUUCUGACAGAUUUUCUGGGGAUUCUGUUUGUGACAUUGUCAGCUCCUUCCAUGCAGCACAGCAAACUACUAUCGUUACUGCAUAUGUGGAGCAGUUUGAGCAACUGAUGAACAUCAUGAGAAGGGAAAACCCUGUAAUCCCUGAUGAUUAUUAUGUUUCCAGCUUUGUGGCAGGACUUAACCCAUAUAUUAAGAGUCAUGUGGAGUGCUUCAGGCCUAAGGAUAUGCAAACUACGGUGUGGUAUGCUAGGAGGAUGGAAAAGGCUCAGGUACCAACUGCAGCAGUGCAAACUAAACCAUAUAUUCCUCAACGUAGAAGGCAAGUAAUAUUUGAUCAGCCCAAAACCCCUACAACUACUGCCACACCAAAUAGAAACACUGUUAUUCAGCAGGCAAAACAAAACCAAGUGUGUUAUAAGUGCAGAGAGCCAUGGGUGCCAGGUCACAAGCAGGUCUGUAAAAUAAGCCAGAGAGGUCAGAUCCAAGCACUACAAGCUGAGGAAGUUGAAAACCCUGAAACAAUCUUUGUCACAGACUUUGAUGACCCUGAUUUGGAAACACAUGAGCAGCCAUCUAGUGAAGCAGUGUUGAGUGUCAAUGCAUGCUGCAAUGGGUAUAGGAGCACACAAAAAUACUUUUAUAUUGACUUUGAAAGUAGGAAAUACAGUUGCCACAACACUGGUGGAUAG